GAUGAACGCUGGCAGCGUGCCUAAUACAUGCAAGUCGAGCGAACGGACGAGAAGCUUGCUUCUCUGAUGUUAGCGGCGGACGGGUGAGUAACACGUGGAUAACCUACCUAUAAGACUGGGAUAACUUCGGGAAACCGGAGCUAAUACCGGAUAAUAUUUUGAACCGCAUGGUUCAAAAGUGAAAGACGGUCUUGCUGUCACUUAUAGAUGGAUCCGCGCUGCAUUAGCUAGUUGGUAAGGUAACGGCUUACCAAGGCAACGAUGCAUAGCCGACCUGAGAGGGUGAUCGGCCACACUGGAACUGAGACACGGUCCAGACUCCUACGGGAGGCAGCAGUAGGGAAUCUUCCGCAAUGGGCGAAAGCCUGACGGAGCAACGCCGCGUGAGUGAUGAAGGUCUUCGGAUCGUAAAACUCUGUUAUUAGGGAAGAACAUAUGUGUAAGUAACUGUGCACAUCUUGACGGUACCUAAUCAGAAAGCCACGGCUAACUACGU
rnacentral:rRNA from 1 species